UCUCGUCCGUUCCCGAGACUCACCGCGCUCCCCCUCCCUCACAGGCACCGGCACAGGCCACACGGGGCUGAAAGCUGCACCCCUAAAAUAAACCCCCCCCACCCCCCUUUAUCCCAGCCCACCCACAGCCAGAAUAUCAAACGUCUUCCCCCAAAAUGUCCCCUAGCGUCUGAGCUAGACGCUGUUCAUCCAACAAGGUAAAUACACCUAUUGACUCUCACCUGGUUUCUCUUGAUAUUAGUUAUAAGUUAAAUCUCUUGUGAAUGUAUAGUGUCUUCUGUAGGAAGUCAGCAAGUGCACUUCUAAUGAGUGCCCUUUACCUGGUUUCUCAGUGAGACCAUAGGUGUACUUCGUGACCUUCACUGGGUCACUCUUGGUACUAAAUGUCCCUGUAGGUGACCCUUACUUGGUAUCUUGGUACGAAAUGUCCCUGUAGGUGACCCUUACUCGGUCUCUUGGUAAUAAAUGUCUCUGUAGGUGACACUUACUUGGUAUCUUGGUACUAAAUGUCCCUGUAGGUGACCCUUACUUUGUCUCUGGGUAAUGAGAUGUCCCUGUAGGUGACCCUUACUUGGUCUCUUGGCAAUUAGAUGUCCCUGUAGGUGACCCUUACUUGGUCUCUUGGUAAUGAGGUAUCCCUUCCCCUGGUUUCUGUUGGUAACCGAGCCACUUUCAGCCCUGCUUGCUUAUGGCCAAAGGUAAGGUGAUAAUGGGUAAUGGAGGUUGUCAGAGGUCAUGGGUCAGUCUGAGAGCUGCUCUCACAGCACUGGAGCAAACACUGUCGUGCUCGUUUUGUCGGCAGGGGACAUGGCGUUGAUUUUAGCAACGGCAGCAUUCGGUCAUGUGACCCUGAGCUUACAAAGCUCUCCUUGUGUGAGCCCGGUGGCCAGAGUGGAGCGAGUGUCAAUCCAACCGCAGCGCGUGCAGUGUUUGCUCCAGGUCUCGGCCCGCAUGCAGGAUGUGACGGCCCAGCGGCCUCUGGGGCCCGGCCUCUAAAAGCCGAAAGUGGAGCCGCUCCGAGCCCCAGCGUAGGGGGGCUGCUGUUGCAUCCUGCAUGGGCUGCAGGGCGUUUUUACACUACAAACCUAGAGCCACCCGGGACCCCUCUAGCUACUUUCUAGUGGCAUCUUUUCAAACCAUAAUGUAAUGUAGGUAGGCUGUUAAAAAAAACAUCGAUAUUUGUGUCAUUGUAGAUGGGGAAGAUAUGGGCUGUGUAAUAUCUAAAGACAGACAUGAGUAAUACUGAGUUUUACAUACCUGAGGGGUUCCUAUAUGUCUAUAUAUAUAUACAUAUGUGUGUUUUUAGGGGGUUUACUGUGAAAGAAAAAAAGGUGAAAGCAUGAACAUAAAAAAGGGUACAUGUGGUGUUUUUAUAAAAAAAAAACAUUAGAAAACAUUUUAAACCUUUCGGUCACUUGUGUGUGAAACUGGAGCUGGUUACGAUUGACGGGCAGAACAGAAAAUGGCGUUAGGAGUUGCGUGUGUCUGUGGAAGUGCAGGGAAGUUGGCAGUUACAUGCCUUCCACUGUGAGUGUGUAUUGUUUGCACGUAUGUGUGUGAGAGUGAGUAAUGCUUUCACCUUUUGCCCCUUUACACAGGUAAGAAUGGGGGGUGGGGGGGAGGGAGGGGAGGGAAGGGUUUGGGAGUGCAAAUGUUUUUUCUGUCUUCUUGAACGUUUAACAUGCUGUCGCAUUUAUACGCUGCAGGUUACAAAGUGCGCGCCAUGUAAGCACAGCAGUACUUUUACAGUCACAGCCCUGAGCUGGGAAGCGUAAUCACAAGAGGGGCUCUUAGAACCAAAUGGGGAGAGAGAGAGAGAGCCAGAGAGCUCAACAUGAAGUGUGUCUGUGUGUUUAAAAUAAAAAAAUUCAACAACAACAAAAAAAAAAAACAAUGUACUUUUCAAAGCUGAAAUGUAACCAAACUUUUUUAAAAAUAUAUAUAUAUAUAU